AUUGAACGCUGGCGGCAUGCCUUACACAUGCAAGUCGAACGGUAACAGAUCUUCGGAUGCUGACGAGUGGCGAACGGGUGAGUAAUACAUCGGAACGUGCCUAGUAGUGGGGGAUAACUACUCGAAAGAGUGGCUAAUACCGCAUGAGAUCUACGGAUGAAAGCAGGGGAUCGCAAGACCUUGUGAUAAUAGAGCGGACGAUGGCAGAUUAGGUAGUUGGUGGGAUAAAAGCUUACCAAGCCGACGAUCUGUAGCUGGUCUGAGAGGACGAUCAGCCACACUGGGACUGAGACACGGCCCAGACUCCUACGGGAGGCAGCAGUGGGGAAUUUUGGACAAUGGGCGCAAGCCUGAUCCAGCAAUGCCGCGUGCAGGAUGAAGGCCUUCGGGUUGUAAACUGCUUUUGUACGGAACGAAAAGCCCUGGGUUAAUACCCUGGGGUCAUGACGGUACCGUAAGAAUAAGCACCGGCUAACUACGUGCCAGCCGCCGCCGUAACAC
rnacentral:rRNA from 1 species